rnacentral:rRNA from 1 species
CCUACGGGUGGCAGCAGUGGGGAAUAUUGCACAAUGGGGGAAACCCUGAUGCAGCGACGCCGCGUGAGCGAUGAAGUUUUUCGGAUUGUAAACUUCUAUCAGUAGCGAAGAUGAUGACGGUAUCUGACUAAUACGCCCCGGCUAACUCCGUGCCAGCCGCCGCGGUAAUACGUAGGGGGCAAGCGUUAUCCGGAUUUACUGGGGGUAAAGAGAGCGUAGACGGGGUUGCAAGUCAGAUGUGAAAUCCUCGGGCUCAACCCCGGAACUGCAUUUGAAACUGUGAGGCUGGAGUGUGGGAGAGGUAGGCGGAAUUCUUGGUGGAGCGGUAAAAUGCGUAGAGAUUAAGAGGAACACCAGUGGCGAAGGCGACCUGCUAGACGAUAACUGACGUUGAGGCGCGAAAGCGUGGGGAGCAAACAGGAUUAGAUACCCUUGUAGUC